rnacentral:rRNA from 1 species
AAAGAGGGGGACCUUCGGGCCUCUCGCGUCAGGAUAUGCCUAGGUGGGAUUAGCUAGUUGGUGAGGUAAGGGCUCACCAAGGCGACGAUCCCUAGCUGGUCUGAGAGGAUGAUCAGCCACACUGGAACUGAGACACGGUCCAGACUCCUACGGGAGGCAGCAGUGGGGAAUAUUGCACAAUGGGCGCAAGCCUGAUGCAGCCAUGCCGCGUGUGUGAAGAAGGCCUUCGGGUUGUAAAGCACUUUCAGUCGUGAGGAAGGUAGUGUAGUUAAUAGCUGCAUUAUUUGACGUUAGCGACAGAAGAAGCACCGGCUAACUCCGUGCCAGCAGCCGCGGUAAUACGGAGGGUGCGAGCGUUAAUCGGAAUUACUGGGCGUAAAGCGCAUGCAGGUGGUUUGUUAAGUCAGAUGUGAAAGCCCGGGGCUCAACCUCGGAAUUGCAUUUGAAACUGGCAGACUAGAGUACUGUAGAGGGGGGUAGAAUUUCAGGUGUAGCGGUGAAAUGCGUAGAGAUCUGAAGGAAUACCGGUGGCGAAGGCGGCCCCCUGGACAGAUACUGACACUCAGAUGCGAAAGCGUGGGGAGCAAACAGGAUUAGAUACCCUGGUAGUCCACGCCGUAAACGAUGUCUACUUGGAGGUUGUGGCCUUGAGCCGUGGCUUUCGGAGCUAACGCGUUAAGUAGACCGCCUGGGGAGUACGGUCGCAAGAUUAAAACUCAAAUGAAUUGACGGGGGCCCGCACAAGCGGUGGAGCAUGUGGUUUAAUUCGAUGCAACGCGAAGAACCUUACCUACUCUUGACAUCCAGAGAACUUUCCAGAGAUGGAUUGGUGCCUUCGGGAACUCUGAGACAGGUGCUGCAUGGCUGUCGUCAGCUCGUGUUGUGAAAUGUUGGGUUAAGUCCCGCAACGAGCGCAACCCUUAUCCUUGUUUGCCAGCGAGUAAUGUCGGGAACUCCAGGGAGACUGCCGGUGAUAAACCGGAGGAAGGUGGGGACGACGUCAAGUCAUCAUGGCCCUUACGAGUAGGGCUACACACGUGCUACAAUGGCGCAUACAGAGGGCGGCCAACUUGCGAAAGUGAGCGAAUCCCAAAAAGUGCGUCGUAGUCCGGAUUGGAGUCUGCAACUCGACUCCAUGAAGUCGGAAUCGCUAGUAAUCGUGGAUCAGAAUGCCACGGUGAAUACGUUCCCGGGCCUUGUACACACCGCCCGUCACACCAUGGGAGUGGGCUGCAAAAGAAGUAGGUAGUUUAACCUUCGGGGGGACGCUUACCACUUUGUGGUUCAUGACUGGGGUGAAGUCGUAACAAGGUAGCGCUAGGGGAACCUGGCGCUGGAUCACCUCCUUAAACGAUGAU